UACAGAGGUCUCAAGCGUUGUUCGGAUUCAUUGGGCGUAAAGGGUGCGUAGGCGGCGCGGUAAGUCGGGUGUGAAAUCUCGGAGCUUAACUCCGAAACUGCAUUCGAUACUGCCGUGCUUGAGGACUGGAGAGGAGACUGGAAUUUACGGCGUAGCGGUGAAAUGCGUAGAUAUCGUAAGGAAGACCAGUGGCGAAGGCGGGUCUCUGGACAGUUCCUGACGCUGAGGCACGAAAGCGUGGGGAGCAAACAGG
rnacentral:rRNA from 1 species